CUCCCUAUACUCUUUGUAUAAUCUUUAGAACUUAUUACUAAUUUUGUUUACAACAUACAACAACGUUGCUAAAAUUACAAACUACAAAACUUAAUUUUUUUUCUCGAUAAAACUGAUCAUUAUAAUGAAGCAAGUAACUGGAUUACACUAAUUACUGUAACAACGAGCCACAGUGUGUCACUGUGUACAAUCAGACCACUAUUUCGACAAACUUCGACGCCAUCAGCCGGUUGCCCAGGCCAACCAAUUUUGUAUUUCUUGCUGCAUCUUUCUUUCACCAGCCACUUUUCGAGUGGUUGAAAGUAUUCCUUAAUUGGAGCUACAGACAUUUCUUUGCUUCCCGUCAUUUUUUCCAAGGCGUAUGGCCACGGUUUCUUUUUACCCAUUUCGAGCAUUGCG